rnacentral:rRNA from 1 species
UACAGAGGGUGCAAGCGUUAAUCGGAAUGACUGGGCGUAAAGGGCGUGUAGGCGGUUUGUUAAGUGAGUGGUGAAAUCCCUGGGCUUAACCUAGGAAUGGCCACUUAUACUGACAGGCUAGAGUGAGGUAGAGGGAAGUGGAAUUUCCGGUGUAGCGGUGAAAUGCGUAGAUAUCGGAAGGAACACCAGUGGCGAAGGCGCUUUCUGGACCUUAACUGACGCUGAGGCGCGAAAGCGUGGGGAGCAAACAAG